UUGGCCCCAUCCUCUCUAUAUUCCCCCUCAAGUAUUUGUACACAUUGAUGAGAUCCCCUCUGAAUCUUCUCUUCUCCAGGCUAGACACGCCCGGCUCUUGCAAUCUUUGUUCAG